rnacentral:rRNA from 1 species
UACGUAGGGCGCAAGCGUUGUCCGGAAUUAUUGGGCGUAAAGAGCUCGUAGGCGGUCUGUUACGUCGGAAGUGAAAACCCGGGGCUUAACCCCGGGAGUGCUUUCGAUACGGGCAGACUAGAGUGUGGUAGGGGAGACUGGAAUUCCUGGUGUAGCGGUGAAAUGCGCAGAUAUCGGGAAGAACACCCGUGGCGAAGGCGGCUCUCUGGGACGGGACUGACGCUGAGACGCGAAAGCGUGGGGAGCGAACAGG